UAUUUAUACUAUUAAAAGUGUGCUUAAGUGGCAGAGCUAGCAUAAAACGAGGGUGGUCAUAUGACCCAUGUGAACUUUUGCAAAAACAAUUUUUCCUUGUGUUUUUGAGGACUCCCUCUUCCGUCGAUCAGGAUCUGACUCCGGUACACGGAGUCUUCUUGACGAUGUGUAGUCGGCUUCGACUCCGGUGGUUCGCGUCUUCAAGAUGGAGUUAUUCGGAUUUUGGUUUCAUGGGGGGGCGUAUUUUACGGUGGUGGUUCUGUGGUAAACGGGUGUAGGAGGUGAUUCGGAAGUGGUGGUUUCGUUUGAUGACGAAGGCUCUGUCUUUGGGUUCCGUUGGUGGUUCCCGAGUGGUGUCUCGACGGUUUUCAGAUGAAGAUGUUUGAAGCGUGGGUGAUGGACUCUGUUGAUAUGGGUUGCGUUCGUCUUUUCUAUGAAGAUGGAGGUGUUUAGUUCUCUGAAUCUCGGCUUUAUUGUCGUUUGUGGAAUGGUUAUGUUGGAUGGUGACGGUGGUUGGAUGUAUCGGAUGAGAUCUCGUCAUCGGACAAUUUGAAGCUCUCCGAGGGAUGGUGAUUUAGAUAUGUGAAGUUUCGUCUCUUAUGUUUGUGGCGUAUGGUGUUGGAUGAGAUCUCGAAGUGUCUCGAUUGAAGCUCUCUAAUGCUUGGAACACAUGAGAUGAAGGAAAGCUGUGAAGUUGGUGGUUCGGAUCUGUUCCCGGCAGAUAUUCCGGUGUUGUUCAGUCGUCAUUGAUUCCCUCCGCGGUCGGUGAAGGAAUGGAGGCGGUUUCCUGGACAUCAAAUACAACAUCGGUUAAAUAAUAAAUUAACAAUAUUUACAUUUUAUAUAAUCAUAAAUAUAGUAAACAUCAUAAUAUGAUAAUAAACAUAAAAUUAUAUUUUAAAUUUGGUUAAAAAUUAUAGAUAAUAUUUUUAUUCUAAAAAUUUAUAAUAUAAAUUAAAAUAUAAUAGAUAUAUUUUAGUAUUUCUAUUAUUUCAAUUUAAAAAUUUUAUUCUUAUUUUUAUUUUUGUAUUUAUAUUUAUAUUGUUUUUGAAAAAAGAAAAAAGAAAUUUUACCCUCCCGCAACCGCUAGCUGGAACCAGCUUUUAAAUUUAAGAGGUUUAGAACGAUUUAGAGCGGUUUGAGUGAUUUUGCAAAACACCAACAACCGCUAUUAAUCGCAAAAACUGCGUUUGCAGGUGGUAGCUAGCGGGAAAACCAGUCAUGUCCUUACUCCAUUUUGAAAAGAAAAUAGAGAUAUACAUUGGAUAUGCUAUAAUACGUGGAGUGGUCAUAAUGAAUUGAUUUGCUAAUUUGCUACUUUGACUUAAAGUGAAUUUCCUUGUAUAACCAUUAUAUUACUCCCUCCGUUUCAUAAUACUUGAUGUUUUGUAAUAGUACACAAAGAUUAAGAAAAUUACAUUUCCCUAGAAAAAUAUUUUAAAGAUAUAAUUUUAAAAUCAGUUAACCAAUUAUAAAAAAGACUGUAAAAUCUAAUUGAUUGAACAGUUUCCAAUAAAGUUAAAGUUAACCUUAAAAUCUCAAAACUUUUUUAAAAUCUCAAAACUUCAUGUAAAUUGAAACAAAACAAACCUUCUAAAACAUCAUCUAUAUUGAAACGGAGGGAGUAUUUUUUUUGUAUGGAUCUGAUUUUUGAACAGUAACAAAACGAAAGUACAAAGAGAUUAACAAUCUGCCAAUACUAGAUGAAUCUAUGAUACUUCAGCUGGUGAGUAGUUCGAGUCUGGCUAAGAUUCAGUAGUGUUAAUUUGAUAAUCCAUAAAAUGUAAACAUCAAUUUUACAUAUGUGUGAUGAUGUUAAAUAUCACAUGGUCUCUAGUAUAUAUGGGAAAGGUAUGGGAAAGGGCAGGAAAAAAUGAAUGAAGUAACUUAAAACACAACUAAUUUUCAUCUUUCUUGUUUUGAUUAAUACUCCGUGUAUAUCCAAUCAUGAUUAAUUUAAUUUUACGAUUCAAAUAAAUUUUUCUUUUUUUUAAAGAAGAAAGUGAUUCAAUUAGAUAAUGACCAUCUAAAUAUUAACGUAUAGUCGUAAUAAUUUGUCACAAUAAUAUCAUUCCAUUGACCGGAUGUGGUAGCUCGUUUGGUAAGGACUUUGGGGGACAAUUGUCAUGCUCCCGGGUUCGACGCCAGACGGAGGGGAACUGCCCAUCCUGUCAUCAAAUGCGGUACUGGGUGUUGGGCCUUGUCCCCAGCCCAGGUUUAAACCCUCCCGGGUGAAGUGGACCGCUGCCUAACCGGACCUAGGGAAUGAUCCACGUAAGUGGGGAACCCUGGAUUAUCAAUAAAAAUAAUAAUAAUAUCAUUCCACGCAUGGCUCGUUGUUUUAAUCAUUAACAAUUAUACUCUAUUUAUUUAUAUUUAUUUCAUUUCAUAUAAAAGUCACCAUGGAUCAAUGUUUAAUGAUAACUAGCCUUUGAAGGAGAGAGAGAUAAGAAGAUGUUGUAACAUCACAUAGCAAAGGGAAGGCACACUAACCAUGUAGUAAAUCUUAAAUGGAUGUGUUCUCAUUUAAAUUCAUUCGAUCAUCAUUUAGUACUAUGAUCAUAUGCUGAUUUUGAUUUUUUUUAUUGUUUGCAGUACACUGGAGGUGGAGAGAACUAGUACCAGUAAUCAAGAUGCAAAAGAAAAAUGCCAACUUGUCUGGACAACAGUCUUUUUCUAAGUCCUACAUUUCCUCUUUUCCGGUUCAUCAUAUGAGGAAAACGAUGUGCGUGAGAGUGCUCUGUACGAAGAAAAGGAUGAGAAAAAUCUUGCGCAAGAAAGAGAGGUUGUCAGGAUGAGAAUAAACUCUUUUGAGCAAUCUUGUUGUUGGAGAUUAUGAAGAGAUGUGAUGAGAAGGACGUUAAUAUGCAAAGGUAAUAACGUAACAGAUUCGGCGAAUAUCAAAGCUGAGACAGGAUCAAUGCGUGGACAAUGACAUGGAGUUGUAGCGAUCAAAGUUGGGGUUUUAUUCUGCAUACCAAGAUAAACCGAGGUAUCAUAUAAACCGAUAUUAGAUGUUUAAUAGUAAUUCUGGAAAGCUAUGUAGGAGUGUCUCUAUUGACUCUAUAGAUUCAGUAGACAAAGAUGAACUAAGGUAGUAUCACAAUUGAAUUCGAUGUUGUAUGUUUUAGAAUUUAGAAUGACAAUAACGAUGAUUAAGAUGGUUUUGAAAUGUUCUGGUUUAGUACUGGUUUUUUAAUUA